rnacentral:rRNA from 1 species
UUCCCGAAUUUAAAAGAGCUAUGAUUAUUAUUGUCAUAAAUAUUGUUAACAAGUAAUGAAAUGUUAUUAUAUCUGGUUUUUAAAGAAAAUUAAAUUUUAUUGUAAUUUCAGGGAUGAGCUUGAAGAGGGAUUAGAAGUUUUGUUAUUACUAGAUUAUUUAAAUUUAUGUUUUAAUUUUUGUAUUAAUAAUGAUUGAAUUAGUAUAAGAUUAAGAAAAGGAACUCGGCAAAUAAUUUUUACCUGUUUAUUAAAAACAUGGCCUAUUGAUUAGAAUUUUAGGUCUUACCUGCCCACUGAGGCCGCGGUAUCUUGACCGUGCAAAGGUAGCAUAAUAAUUAGUUUUUUAAAUGAAAGCUGGAAUGAAUGGUGGAAUAAGAAAUUAGCUGUCUUUAUUUGAUAGAAUUUUAUUUUUAAGUUAAAAUGCUUAAAUUUUAUUAAAAGACGAGAAGACCCUAUAGAGUUUAACUUUGGUUGGGGCGAUUAGAAAAUUUAUUAAACUUUUGAUUAAAAGAUAAAAUUACCUUAGGGAUAACAGCGUUAUUUUUCUUAGAGUUCUAAUCGAAAGGAAAGUUUGCGACCUCGAUGUUGGAUUAAAAUUUAUUUUGGUGCAGAAGCU